rnacentral:tRNA from 1 species
AGAAAAGUAAUUAAUUCAUAAUAUCUUUUUGUCAAAAAGAAAUAAUUCUAAGGGAUCUUUUCUA